CCCAGCGGACAGUGGCUUUGGGCACCCACUAUAUAAGAUUAAUGAAAUGGAAUAUGUAAACAAGAUGUGAAAUUAAGGAAAACAUGAUGAGUAAGUUGAUGAAGGCAAUAAUAUCGAUCGACCAAAUAUGAUUAUGUGCUUCCACAUUUUUCAGAAGAUUUAACAUUAACCAGGGAAUGAAGGAGAAAUAAAAGGGAUUGGGAUGGACCAGAAAGAAGAUGCUGCCAGACCUGCUGAGUUUCUUCAGCAUUCUCUGCGUUUUUUAUCCAACUCCCAGCUACUUCCCUGUGGCUUCACAUUGAGUCCAUGUGCAAUUGCUUCCUGCUGGCAUUCCUUUCAUUGAAGUUGUUGGGUCUCUGGAAACUUAUUUUUGCAAGAGCCAACAUCUUUGUUGCUCAUUGCAAUAACCAUGACUGAUGGAUCCAGCAAAGAGUUCUCGCCACUGUUGCUGCACUACAAUAGCGGCACAGACAAAUGGAAGAAGAACAGAUGGGUCAGGAAGGCCAACAGCAGCAACCGCCAGGAGACACCAAAUUGAGGUAUCACAGCUGAAGGCCCCUCAGACUUUGGGAAAGAGUCUUUCAUCCUUGAUGCCAUUUCCUCCCAGAUGGGUGAGGUGCAGUGUUGACACAGACUGAGGAUGUCCCAAGCCAUGGGGGAGAGGAUGGACAUCCUAUCCCUGUGACCAUCAAGGUGGUGGCUGUAUUCCUCUUCUAAGGAGCCAUUAGGGACCCUGUGUGCCAUCUUUCAAUUGACCACUCACAAAUAUAUCAAGGCUGUUGCUGAUAUAUUGGUGUCAGAUCAGUUUGCUCAAUCUCAUUGUGCUCAGAUUCUUAUUUCAUUUGGUAACAUGCCUCAUGCCGAAUUUAUUCGCUGAAUAACUUGCCCAUGGGAAGAUUGAAAAUUAUUUAAUUUGAUUUGAUUUAUUUAUUGUCACAUGUAUUUUGUUACAAAGUACAAAAAAGUGUGCUUUAUUCUCUCCACGCCAUCUGAAGAUACAGAAAAAUCAUCCAAAACACAAAAAAUAAAGCAGAAAAAUAUAGAAAAA